ensembl:lncRNA
AGUUACUAAGUUACUGACCAGGGAGUUACUAAGGUCACUGACCAGGGAGUUACUAAAGUCACUGACCAGGGAGUUACUAAAGUCACUGACCAGGGAGUUACUAAGGUCACUGACCAGGGAGUUACUAAGUUACUGACCAGGGAGUUACUAAAGUCACUGACCAGGUAGUUACUAAGGUCACUAACCAGGUAGUUACUAAGGUACUGACCAGGUAGUUACUAAGGUCACUAACCAGGGAGUUACUAAGGUCACUGACCAGGGAGUUACUAAGUUACUGAUCAGGGAGUUACUAAGGACACUGAUCAGGUGGUUACUAAGAUACUGACCAGGUAGGUACUAAGUUACUGACCAGGGAGUUACUAAGGUACUAAGGUCACUGACCAGGACAACAUUCUGGACAAACAAGUCCGAUCCCACGGAUCCACCUCGGUCGCAACUUACAGGACGUAAAGGAUCUGCCGCUAACGUCUCAGCGCCAGAUCCCACAGCACACCUUCGGAGGUCUUGUUGAGUCCGUACCUCGAGGUGUCGGAGCCGUUCUGGCACGAGGAGAGGCGGACCGCCC